rnacentral:rRNA from 1 species
AGUGAACGCUGGCGGUAGGCCUAACACAUGCAAGUCGAACGGCAGCACAGUAAGAGCUUGCUCUUACGGGUGGCGAGUGGCGGACGGGUGAGGAAUACAUCGGAAUCUACUUUUUCGUGGGGGAUAACGUAGGGAAACUUACGCUAAUACCGCAUACGACCUACGGGUGAAAGCAGGGGAUCUUCGGACCUUGCGCGAUUGAAUGAGCCGAUGUCGGAUUAGUCAGUUGGCGGGGUAAAGGCCCACCAAGGCGACGAUCCGUAGCUGGUCUGAGAGGAUGAUCAGCCACACUGGAACUGAGACACGGUCCAGACUCCUACGGGAGGCAGCAGUGGGGAAUAUUGGACAAUGGGCGCAAGCCUGAUCCAGCCAUACCGCGUGGGUGAAGAAGGCCUUCGGGUUGUAAAGCCCUUUUGUUGGGAAAGAAAAGCAGCAGGUUAAUACCCCGCUGUUCUGACGGUACCCAAAGAAUAAGCACCGGCUAACUUCGUG